UAAUGCUUGGGGUACAGGGCACUCUUCACAGGUCUCUUACAGGAGAUUCAAAUUUGUUGACGUGGAGGGUAAUAAAAUAAAAAAAAAAAUGCAACAAAACAAACGAAAAGGAGGGAACGCUAGACAUAACCUGCGCAGCUAAGAUACCCUAAGUUUGAGCUCCCCCAAAAUUCUUCCCUCCUGGUCGAUGCCACAGCCACCAUCCCCUCCGGCGCUGCCAUACCUCCAGUCACUAAACAAAUAUCAAAAAAUACUUGUGAACGGCAAUGCACUCAUUUCCCCCAAUUUGAGGUCUCCCAAAAUCCCUCUCAUAGUAUACAACACACCAACCUAUCCCCUCUGGUCAGAAUAUACCGGCGACCAUUUUUCCACUUACUGCAGUUGAAGCCUCGAGAAAUGGGAGCCUGGCGGGGUUGAUUUCAACUUCCUACUCCGAGGAUAAUAGCUCUGCUGUUCGGGUAUUUGCCUACGACCUCCAACGACAAUCUUGGCAUUUUCGGAGUCUUGUGAACCUGAGGUGAGAGGAAGGAAUGCUAAAAUUUGUCACAAAUGUAGAAGCAAUGGGCAUUUUUUCGGUGAAUGCCCAAGAAAAUGUCAUUGCCCAUUGUGUGCACAUGGAUUUCAGAAAUGUUUUUAGGUCGAACGACAAACACGCAACAAGGGUCGCUAUUUAACACAUGCAGUAAUAAAUGUAGAUUUUUUGAAUGGGUUAACAAGGAGAGUCAAGUGGAGACGAGUACAAUUAAUGAAGCUCUCAAUAUUGCAACAAAUGAGGAAGUCAAAGAUUUGCCAAGUAUGUUCGACAUUCUUGCUUGAAUAUUCGACGAACGAGACUUAGAGAUUAACUUGAAAUUACUUUCCGCAAGGGAAAAGGAAGUUCGGAAGGAAAUGGAAAAGUAAAGUAGGCCUCUUGAGUAGUUGUACUAUGUUGAACAUGUUAAUUGAAUUAUGUUUGUACUAGAACAUAUGAAGGACAUAACUCCGUAUGUUUCAUCGGAAAAUGGGUGUUAUGCAAUGUAGGUUUAUGUGUAUUUCU